CCUACGGGGGGCAGCAGUGAGGAAUAUUGGUCAAUGGACGAGAGUCUGAACCAGCCAAGUAGCGUGAAGGAUGACUGCCCUAUGGGUUGUAAACUUCUUUUAUAUGGGAAUAAAAUGUUCCACGUGUGGGCUUUUGUAUGUACCAUAUGAAUAAGGAUCAGCUAACUCCGUGCCAGCAGCCGCGGUAAUACGGAGGAUCCGAGCGUUAUCCGGAUUUAUUGGGUUUAAAGGGAGCGUAGGUGGAGUAAUAAGUCAGUUGUGAAAGUUUGCGGCUCAACCGUAAAAUUGCAGUUGAAACUGGCAGUCUUGAGUACAGUAGAGGUGAGCGGAAUUCGUGGUGUAGCGGUGAAAUGCUUAGAUAUCACGAAGAACUCCGAUGGCGAAGGCAGCUCACUGGACUGCAACUGACACUGAGGCUCGAAAGUGUGGGUAUCAAACAGGAUUAGAUACCCUGGUAGUC
rnacentral:rRNA from 1 species